rnacentral:rRNA from 1 species
CAAUAGCGUAUAUUAAAGUUGUUGCAGUUAAAAAGCUCGUAGUUGGAUUUCGGGGCAGCCUGGCUGGUCCGCCGCAAGGCGAGUACUGGUCAGCCGCCCUUCCUCUCGAAAGCCCCGACUGCUCUUCGUUGCAGUGGUCGGGUAGUUCGGGACGUUUACUUUGAAAAAAUUAGAGUGUUCAAGGCAGGCCUACGCCUGAAUACAUUAGCAUGGAAUAAUGGAAGAGGACCUCGGUCCUAUUUUGUUGGUUUCCAGGGCCGAAGUAAUGAUUAAGAGGGACAGUUGGGGGCAUUCGUAUUUAAUUGCCAGAGGUGAAAUUCUCGGAUUUAUGAAAGACGAACAACUGCGAAAGCAUUUGCCAAGGAUGUUUUCAUUAA